GGGAAGUCUGGAUGUGGGACAUUCUCUUGCAGCCAGCCACAUGGUGCAACGUGAAGCUUGAAGAGAACACCAUGGGACAAAAUCUUUCACAGACUUGUCCAUCUAUCCUUUCGGUUUAAGAUCCAGAACACAUGACUCUUGAGAGCUGUAUCCACUACUUUAAUGCAUGAUGAAAACGCCCCAUUGUCUGCAGUGCUGUCAGCAAGCUUGGCAAACUUCUCCGCUUUGUAGCAGGCGUACUCUGCGUUGAUGAGCUUCGUCAGCAAGAACUCGUGGAAUUCUGG